rnacentral:sRNA from 1 species
UAGCCAUACUUCACCUCUCCUGUAGGUGGUUCGUGGUCAGGAAAGGCCGGGUGGUGAGACACCUGGCCUUUCCGCUU